UCAACCGAGCAGGCAAACGACCAAGGGAUACUCUGUCAAAGGCUGAAACAUUAACAGAAGGCCAAUUGCAGAAAGCUGCCGAGUUGAAGGAGGACCAAAGACAAAGACUGUGUGGCUCUGGAGGUGCAGGACCACAAAGGCUGUUAUAAUCAGUACACCAGGUUUUUGAUGAGGCCUGAAAAACCAGAGAAAGACCAGAAUGAGCCCACGUUUGAUGUCAGCGAUAAGAUAUUCUGUGAAAGGAUCAUUCGCCAAAGGCUGCUUGUCAACCAAGAGGUGCUGAGAAUGGGCCAGCUGAGGAAGGCCUUCAUUGAACUGGUGAAAGCAAAUGAAGACAGGAUAUGUUGAAGAAGAGGCUGGC